rnacentral:rRNA from 1 species
UCCUACGGGAGGCAGCAGUGAGGAAUAUUGGACAAUGGGCGCAAGCCUGAUCCAGCCAUGCCGCGUGCAGGAUGACGGUCCUAUGGAUUGUAAACUGCUUUUGCACAGGAAGAAACAACUCUACGUGUAGAGUCUUGACGGUACUGUGAGAAUAAGGAUCGGCUAACUCCGUGCCAGCAGCCGCGGUAAUACGGAGGAUCCAAGCGUUAUCCGGAAUCAUUGGGUUUAAAGGGUCCGUAGGCGGUUUAGUAAGUCAGUGGUGAAAGCCCAUCGCUCAACGGUGGAACGGCCAUUGAUACUGCUAGACUUGAAUUAUUAGGAAGUAACUAGAAUAUGUAGUGUAGCGGUGAAAUGCUUAGAGAUUACAUGGAAUACCAAUUGCGAAGGCAGGUUACUACUAAUUGAUUGACGCUGAUGGACGAAAGCGUGGGUAGCGAACAGGAUUAGAUACCCUGGUAGUCCACGCCGUAAACGAUGGAUACUAGCUGUUGGGAGCGAUCUCAGUGGCUAAGCGAAAGUGAUAAGUAUCCCACCUGGGGAGUACGUUCGCAAGAAUGAAACUCAAAGGAAUUGACGGGGGCCCGCACAAGCGGUGGAGCAUGUGGUUUAAUUCGAUGAUACGCGAGGAACCUUACCAAGGCUUAAAUGUAGAUUGACCGGUUUGGAAACAGACUUUUCGCAAGACAAUUUACAAGGUGCUGCAUGGUUGUCGUCAGCUCGUGCCGUGAGGUGUCAGGUUAAGUCCUAUAACGAGCGCAACCCCUGUUGUUAGUUGCCAGCGAGUCAUGUCGGGAACUCUAACGAGACUGCCGCCGUAAGGCGUGAGGAAGGAGGGGAUGAUGUCAGGUCAUCAUGGCCUUUAUGCCCAGGGCUACACACGUGCUACAAUGGGGAGGACAAAGGGCUGCUACCUGGUAACAGGAUGCUAAUCUCAAAAACCUCCUCUCAGUUCGGAUUGAGGUCUGCAACUCGACCUCAUGAAGCUGGAAUCGCUAGUGAUCGUAUAUCAG